GAGUUUGAUCAUGGCUCAGGAUGAACGCUGGCGGCGUGCCUAACACAUGCAAGUCGAACGGAGUUACGAUGAAACCUAGUGAUUCGUAACUUAGUGGCGGACGGGUGAGUAACGCGUGGAUAACCUGCCUUACACUGGGGGAUAACACUUAGAAAUAGGUGCUAAUACCGCAUAAGCGCACAGAGCCGCAUGGCUCAGUGUGAAAAACUCCGGUGGUGUAAGAUGGAUCCGCGUCUGAUUAGCUGGUUGGCGGGGUAGAAGCCCACCAAGGCGACGAUCAGUAGCCGGCCUGAGAGGGUGAACGGCCACAUUGGGACUGAGACACGGCCCAAACUCCUACGGGAGGCAGCAGUGGGGAAUAUUGCACAAUGGGGGAAACCCUGAUGCAGCAACGCCGCGUGAGUGAAGAAGUCAUUCGUGAUGUAAAGCUCUAUCAGCAGGGAAGAAAAUGACGGUACCUGAGUAAGAAGCCCCGGCUAACUACGUGCCAGCAGCCGCGGUAAUACGUAGGGGGCAAGCGUUAUCCGGAUUUACUGGGUGUAAAGGGAGCGUAGACGGCCAGACAAGUCUGAAGUGAAAAUCCAGCGCUUAACGUUGGAAGUGCUUUGGAAACUGCCGGGCUAGAGUGCAGGAGGGGCAGGCGGAAUUCCUAGUGUAGCGGUGAAAUGCGUAGAUAUUAGGAGGAACACCAGUGGCGAAGGCGGCCUGCUGGACUGCAACUGACGUUGAGGCUCGAAGGCGUGGGGAGCAAACAGGAUUAGAUACCCUGGUAGUCCACGCGGUAAACGAUGAUUACUAGGUGUCGGGGGGCUAGAGCCCUUCGGUGCCGUCGCAAACGCAAUAAGUAAUCCACCUGGGGAGUACGUUCGCAAGAAUGAAACUCAAAGGAAUUGACGG
rnacentral:rRNA from 1 species